rnacentral:rRNA from 1 species
GCAAACCGGGAGAACUGAAACAUCUAAGUACCCCGAGGAAAAGAAAUCAACCGAGAUUUUGUAAGUAGCGGCGAGCGAAAGCGAAAGAGCCAGUGAGUGAUAGCAGCAAAGACAGAAGAAUUGGCUGGGAAGCCAAGCGACACAGGGUGAUAGCCCCGUAUUCGAAGUUUUUGUUGUGGUACUAAGCUUGCAACAAGUAGGGCGGGACACGAGAAAUCCUGUUUGAAGAUGGGGGGACCAUCCUCCAAGGCUAAAUACUCCUGAUUGACCGAUAGUGAACCAGUACUGUGAAGGAAAGGCGAAAAGAACCCCAGUGAGGGGAGUGAAAUAGAACCUGAAACCGUGUACGUACAAGCAGUGGGAGCCCUUUGGGGUGACUGCGUACCUUUUGUAUAAUGGGUCAGCGACUUAUAUUUUGUAGCGAGGUUAACUGAAUAAGGGAGCCGAAGGGAAACCGAGUCUUAACUGGGCGGCUAGUUGCAAGGUAUAGACCCGAAACCCGGUGAUCUAGCCAUGGGCAGGUUGAAGGUUGGGUAACACUAACUGGAGGACCGAACCGACUAAUGUUGAAAAAUUAGCGGAUGACUUGUGGCUGGGGGUGAAAGGCCAAUCAAACCGGGAGAUAGCUGGUUCUCCCCGAAAUCUAUUUAGGUAGAGCCUUAUGUGAAUACCUUCGGGGGUAGAGCACUGUUUCGGCUAGGGGUCCAUCCCGGAUUACCAACCCGAUGCAAACUGCGAAUACCGAAGAGUAAUGCAUAGGAGACACACGGUGGGUGCUAACGUCCAUCGUGGAGAGGGAAACAACCCAGACCGCCAGCUAAGGUCCCAAAGUCUAUAUUAAGUGGGAAACGAAGUGGGAAGGCUUAGACAGCUAGGAUGUUGGCUUAGAAGCAGCCA